CCAGCAGCCGCGGUAAUUCCAGCUCCAAUAGCGUAUAUUUAAGUUGUUGCAGUUAAAAAGCUCGUAGUUGGAUUUCGGGUGGGUUGGCGCGGUCCGCCUCUGGUGUGCACUGCGUCGGUCCACCUUCCAGUUGGGGACGGGCUCCUGGCCUUCACGGGUUGGGACUCGGAGUCAACGAUGUUACUUUGAGUAAAUUAGAGUGUUCAAAGCAGGCCUACGCUCUGAAUACGUUAGCAUGGAAUAACGCGAUAGGACUCUGGCCUAUCCGUUGGUCUGUGGGACCGGAGUAAUGAUUAAGAGGGACAGUCGGGGGCAUUCGUAUUCCGUUGUCAGAGGUGAAAUUCUUGGAUUUACGGAAGACGAACUUCUGCGAAAGCAUUUGCCAAGGAU
rnacentral:rRNA from 1 species